rnacentral:rRNA from 2 species
GCUGGCGGCGUGCCUAAUACAUGCAAGUCGAGCGAACAGAUAAGGAGCUUGCUCCUUUGACGUUAGCGGCGGACGGGUGAGUAACACGUGGGUAACCUACCUAUAAGACUGGGAUAACUUCGGGAAACCGGAGCUAAUACCGGAUAACAUUUGGAACCGCAUGGUUCUAAAGUGAAAGAUGGUUUUGCUAUCACUUAUAGAUGGACCCGCGCCGUAUUAGCUAGUUGGUAAGGUAACGGCUUACCAAGGCGACGAUACGUAGCCGACCUGAGAGGGUGAUCGGCCACACUGGAACUGAGACACGGUCCAGACUCCUACGGGAGGCAGCAGUAGGGAAUCUUCCGCAAUGGGCGAAAGNCUGACGGAGCAACGCCGCGUGAGUGAUGAAGGGUUUCGGCUCGUAAAACUCUGUUAUUAGGGAAGAACAAAUGUGUAAGUAAC